rnacentral:misc_RNA from 1 species
AAUUCUUCAAAAUCAAAUCUUUUGUUAACUCAAUUGGUUUGACUUUGGUAUUGGAGGUUUUUGCAGCUUCACACCUGCUCCUCUUUGUGCAUUAGCUGGAUCUCAGUGUUAUGCUUGGUUCCACUCAGCGUGAUAAGUUAUCUAUCGCUGAGGACACUGUAAAAAGGUGGCCAAGGUAAAUGCAGAUGAACCGCUUCUAAUAGUCCAUUGACUUGGACAAUAUUUUUUAUG